rnacentral:rRNA from 1 species
GAGUUUGAUCGUGGCUCAGAUUGAACGCUGGCGGCAUGCCUUACACAUGCAAGUCGAGCGGCAGCGCGGGGGCAACCCUGGCGGCGAGCGGCGAACGGGUGAGUAAUACAUCGGAACGUGUCCUGUCGUGGGGGAUAACCAGUCGAAAGAUUGGCUAAUACCGCAUGACCUCGUAAGAGAAAAGCGGGGGACCGUAAGGCCUCGCGCGACUGGAGCGGCCGAUGUCGGAUUAGCUAGUUGGCGGGGUAAAAGCCCCACCAAGGCGACGAUCCGUAGCUGGUUUGAGAGAACGACCAGCCACACUGGGACUGAGACACGGCCCAGACUCCUACGGGAGGCAGCAGUGGGAAUUUUGGACAAUGGGGGCAACCCUGAUCCAGCCAUGCCGCGUGUGUGAAGAAGGCCUUCGGUUG